rnacentral:misc_RNA from 1 species
AAGUCGUAACAAGGUUUCCGUAGGUGAACCUGCGGAAGGAUCAUUAACACAUCCUUUUAUAACUAUAAACAAUUUCGCAUUCCCGAGCCUGUUUGAGGCGAAGUCUGUUUGAGCUGUGGUUGAUUUAGUUAGCUUGACAGAACUCCCCUUGCCUCUUUUGGUGAGAUCGGAACUUCGACUUCUCAGGUAUACAGUCUCAACCAUGACUGGAACUUUUUUUCUUUUUACUGCCUAAUUGGACUGAUUUAGAUGUGGAUUGAGCUGAACCAACUCUCUUGUAGAGGAGGGGAAGUUCUCUGCAUCGCUCUUUAGAUGGUAGUCUUGUACUACUAUUUAAUGUUAAACACAACUCUUAACAGCGGAUAUCUCGGUUCUC